GAACGCUGGCGGCGUGCCUAAUACAUGCAAGUAGAACGCUGAAGAGAGGAGCUUGCUCUUCUUGGAUGAGUUGCGAACGGGUGAGUAACGCGUAGGUAACCUGCCUUGUAGCGGGGGAUAACUAUUGGAAACGAUAGCUAAUACCGCAUAACAAUGGGUGACACAUGUCAUUUAUUUGAAAGGGGCAAUUGCUCCACUACAAGAUGGACCUGCGUUGUAUUAGCUGGUAGGUGAGGUAACGGCUCACCUAGGCGACGAUACAUAGCCGACCUGAGAGGGUGAUCGGCCACACUGGGACUGAGACACGGCCCAGACUCCUACGGGAGGCAGCAGUAGGGAAUCUUCGGCAAUGGGGGCAACCCUGACCGAGCAACGCCGCGUGAGUGAAGAAGGCUUUCGGAUCGUAAAGCUCUGUUGUAAGUCAAGAACGAGUGUGAGAGUGGAAAGUUCACACUGUGACGGUAGCUUACCAGAAAGGGACGGCUAACUACGUGCCAGCAGCCGCGGUAAUACGUAGGUCCCGAGCGUUGUCCGGAUUUAUUGGGCGUAAAGCGAGCGCAGGCGGUUUGAUAAGUCUGAAGUUAAAGGCUGUGGCUCAACCAUAGUUCGCUUUGGAAACUGUCAAACUUGAGUGCAGAAGGGGAGAGUGGAAUUCCAUGUGUAGCGGUGAAAUGCGUAGAUAUACGGAGGAACACCGGUGGCGAAAGCGGCUCUCUGGUCUGUAACUGACGCUGAGGCUCGAAAGCGUGGGGAGCGAACAGGAUUAGAUACCCUGGUAGUCCACGCCGUAAACGAUGAGUGCUAGGUGUUAGAUCCUUUCCGGGAUUCAGUGCCGCAGCUAACGCAUUAAGCACUCC
rnacentral:rRNA from 1 species